UACGGGGGGGCAAGCGUUGUUCGGAUUUAUUGGGCGUAAAGAGCUCGUAGGUGGUUCGAUAAGUCGGGUGUGAAAACUCUGGCUCAACUCAGAGACGCCACUCGAUACUGCGGGUCUCGAGUCCGGGAGAGGUGAGUGGAAUUCCUAGUGUAGAGGUGAAAUUCGUAGAUAUUAGGAAGAACACCAGUGGCGAAGGCGGCUCACUGGCCCGGUACUGACGCUGAGGCGCGAAAGCGUGGGGAGCGAACAGG
rnacentral:rRNA from 1 species